CCAUGGUUCCGAGAGGUGUAUGGUAUCAGGUCACCCUCUAAUCGGAAACACGGGUUCCGAUAUCCGUUAUGGGUGGCACCCUCUUGUGAAUUAUUCAACAAUGGACGAAAGUUCUAUCGCUUCCACGGCGAUUGGAAGGAUGAAGCGUCUUCGGGAUGUUAUCUCCCUGUUCAUCGGGAAGAAAGAACAUGACGGUGAUCACCGGCAGUGGUUACUACUACCCGAUGAGGAAGAGACAGCUAAGCUCGGUGCCAGCAGCCGCGGUAAUACGAAGGUCCUAAGCGUUGUUCCGAAUCGCUGGGCGUACACGGGAGCGUAGGCGGCGCUGGUAUAGUCAGAUGUGAAAUCCCCGGGGCUCAAACUCCCGUAUCUGCAUCCGAUACUUCCCGUGCUUGAGGGUUGGAGAGGUAGCUUGAAAUUCUCGGUGUAGCAGUGAUAUGCGUGCAUAUAGAGAGGAACACUCGUGGCGAAGGCGAGCUACUGGACAACAUCUGACGCUGAGGCUCGAAGGCUAGGCGAGCAAAAGGGAUUAGAUACCCCUGUAGUCCUAGCAGUAAACGGUGUGCGCUUGGUGUGAGGGGAUUCGACCCCCCUUGUGCCGGAGCUAACGCGUUAAGCGCACCGCCUGGGAAGUACGGCCGCAAGGCUAAAACUCAAAGAAAUUGACGGGGACCCGCACAAGCGGUGGAGUAUGUGGCUUAAUUCGAUGCAACGCGAAGAACCUUACCAAGGCUUGACAUGGAUUUCUAAGCACGUGAAAGCGUGUGACCCUUCGGGGGACUUCCACAGGUGCUGCAUGGCCGUCGUCAGCUCGUGUCGUGAGAUGUUGGGUUAAGUCCCGCAACGAGCGCAACCCCUGUGAACAGUUGCCAGCACGUUAAGGUGGGGACUCUGUUCAGACUGCCCAGAUCAACUGGGAGGAAGGUGGGGACGACGUCAGGUCAGUAUGGCCCUUACGCCUUGGGCUGCACACGUACUACAAUGCCCAGCACAAUGAGAACCGAGACCGCGAGGUGGAGGAAAUCUAUAAAACUGGGCCCAGUUCGGAUUGGAGGCUGCAACUCGCCUCCAUGAAGCCGGAAUCGCUAGUAAUGCUGCAUCAGCUACGGCAGCGUGAAUACGUUCCCGGGUCUUGUACAGCACCGCCCGUCACAUCAUGGAAGCCGGUAGCACCCGAAGUAUCGUACGAUCCUAAGGGGAAAAGCUGAAGGGU
rnacentral:rRNA from 1 species